GGUGGCUGUCAAUAGAUUGGCCCAAAAGGAAGAACAAGGAAAAGGGCACUAAAGAAGAUAAAUGAAAAUACAAGGGCAUAAGCUGAACUGUGGACAUCCUGCCACUGGGAAUUAAGUUAAAGUAGAAAAAAGCAGAAUGUAAUGGGGAGUCGCCUCACAAGAAGAAUUUGGAUCAAAGCAUGGCAGUGAGGGGAAGCAUUGAGCAGUGCCAAUUUCAAAUGAAGACUGACUUGAUCCUGAACAUAACCUACAAGAAGAAAGGGACCGCAGGCUAUACACAAAGCAUGGUGCAGGCAUCUGCUUCUGGUGAGGGCCUCAGGAAGCUUACAAUUGUGAUGGAAGGUGAAAAGGAAGCCAGUGCAUCACAUGGCAAGAGAGGGAACAAGAGAGAAGGGGACAGUGCCACACACUUUAAAAAAAAAAUCUUAUCUCAUGAGACAGAACGAACUGAGUGAGAGUUCACUCAUCCCCAAGGGAAUGGUGCUAAGUCAUUCAUGAGGGAUCCCCCCGCCGCCCCCGUGAUUCAAUCACCUCCCACCAGACCCCACCUCCAACACUGGGGAUUACAUUUCAACAUGAGACUUGGAGGGGACAAACAUUCAAACCAUAUCAGUCUUUAACCCCUCUUCCUGACAUACAACUCCUAAAACUCUUAGGAUCUCCAAAGUGCUGUCUUUUUAUGUGUUAAUAAUUGGCUAGGGGCUCAUAGCCC
rnacentral:lncRNA from 1 species